AAGGUGACGAUCUUUUGGGCGGAACCAAAAGUCGGGAAACUUUGGUUCCGCCCGGAUGUUUCCGCCCAGACCGAAGAACGGAAACACCGGACAUCCGGCAGCCUCGCGAAGGCUGUAAUCAGCCGAUUGAGCACAGCUGUGCCUAGUUAAAGAGAUCGCCGGGCAAUUGGAUGACUGAAGUACAGAGAGGAGUAUUUAAAGCACAGUUAAAUGACAGUUCAGGAGUUCGGGCACGAGAGGGGGAUUGACACGGGGAGAGCUCCUCUGCUUAGGGCAGGAGAGGUAACUACGUACCUUUUGAAGAGCCCGCAGGCUCUGUUGAUCCGGGCUGCGCUUGAAGCGCGCGGAAAGAAGACAGGAGCUGCCUGGGGCGAAAGAAAGGCGAUACGUGAGUGGAGAAAAGGAGCACCCCGAAGAGAGCAUUGUGCUGUCAAGCCUGUGCGUAGUGUGUGCUGGGAAACGGAGCUGUGCUCAUUUUUGGACGUGGUGGCUGUCUGUGUUUCUCUCUCUCUCUCUCGUUGCAGUCUUUAUUGUGGACCUGCUGGAGUAAACAGGAAGAUCCUAUGGGUAAGAAGGAACUUUGUUCUAACCAAUACUGAAGGAGUAAAGCAGGAAGAAAAUUGACCUUCUGGUACAACGUAAACAAAGGCUAUCCGCCGUGAGUAUACCCUUUUUGUGUGAAGUAACUGGCAAAAAUUAACUUGUGUAACCAUUGGAAACCUCCAGGAGAAGGAGGGCGGCCCUACCCCUACAAGAGUGUGGUGGGCGAGCCGUUAGAAGUACAAAUUCAAACAGCCACCGCAACGAGACUUAUUGUGGUCGUAUUUCCCAUCGCCUUAUCGUAGCCCAAGCGCAGUGGAGGACACCGGGCGCUUCCCUUGUUGUGGUGCACUUAUAGUGUGGUGAGUGAGACUGUGUAAUAAAUCUUUUCACGUUGGAGUGGUGCUGUGUAUUUGCUGUGGGUUGCUGUGUGUCUUGUAGACGAAGCCCCGCAUCAUCCAUUUUCUUCCUCUGGGCAGAGGACGGAGAGGCCAACGACCUCAGAAACUACUGUUACCAUAUGUAGUGUGCUGUUUGGAGUACGAAGGGACGCAGACUAAGAGCUGUCCGCGACCGUGAGUAAACCAUUGGAAACAUUCGUGGUGUGAACUUACCUGUGUCUGUUUUGUCGCAGAGUCAGAGGCGAAAGGGUCCGCCGCCCCGUGGUCUCUACGAAAAGGGCGCCCCCGUCUAGGAAUCGAUCGGCCUAUGGGCAUUGGAGAUAGGGCAGCGCUCGACCCGGUGAGGUGGUGUGUGACCUUCGCCCCUCUGCCGACCUACGGAGGAGGACCAUACCUACCCAGAAAGCUGUAAACAGCAGAGCCGCGGCCACCUGUGGAGAGAGAGCAGAACGAGAGUGAAUCAUUGGAGAGCAAACUGUGAACGUGAUACCUACCCAGAAAGCUGUAAACAGCAGAGCCGGUGAGAAAUACUCGAAGUCUCAGUAACAGUGUCUUUGUGUUCUAGCGGCCACCUGUGGAGAGAGAGCAGAACGAGAGUGAAUCAUUGAAGAGCAAACUGUGAACGUGAUACCUACCCAGAAAGCUGUAAACAGCAGAGCCGGUGAGAAAUACUCGAAGUCUCAGUAACAGUGUCUUUGUGUCCUAGCGGCCACCUGUGGAGAGAGAGCAGAACGAGAGUGAAUAAUCGAAGAACAACCUGUGAACGUGAUACCUACCCAGAAAGCUGUAAACAGCAGAGCCGGUGAGAAAUACUCGAAGUCUCAGUAACAGUGUCUUUGUGUCCUAGUGGCCUCCUGUGGAGAGAACGGAAAACGAGAAGGAACAUGAGGAGAAUGGACUGUGUGAAGAUACAGUGGUGGUGGAGGAGAGCCUAGAGUGGCCAUUGUUUUAAGUCCCCCGUUUCCCCUUCCCUAUUUAAUAUUUUUAAGUAAUUUAAUAAAGGAUAUUUUAAUUUUAUGCUUACCUGGUGUGUCUGGUCAUUGGGGUGGCUUUGGGAAUCUCCUCGAGGUGGAGAAAGGGGCGUGACCUUAUUCAAAUCUGGGUCCACCCCUACCUGUGACAGAUUUGGCGUAGUCGGCAGUCCACCUCGGGUUGAGACCAAGGUCCCCCAAUGGCCUACCACGUUUUUUUAAAGAAAAGCUCCCAUCAACACCCUAUCAGUCCCUAAACAACGCGUUCUCGGGACGAGAACGGAUUGGCGGGGGAGGAUGUCACAAGGUGACGAUCUUUUGGGCGGAACCAAAAGUCGGGAAACUUUGGUUCCGCCCGGAUGUUUCCGCCCAGACCGAAGAACGGAAACACCGGACAUCCGGCAGCCUCGCGAAGGCUGUAAUCAGCCGAUUGAGCACAGCUGUGCCUAGUUAAAGAGAUCGCCGGGCAAUUGGAUGACUGAAGUACAGAGAGGAGUAUUUAAAGCACAGUUAAAUGACAGUUCAGGAGUUCGGGCACGAGAGGGGGAUUGACACGGGGAGAGCUCCUCUGCUUAGGGCAGGAGAGGUAACUACGUACCUUUUGAAGAGCCCGCAGGCUCUGUUGAUCCGGGCUGCGCUUGAAGCGCGCGGAAAGAAGACAGGAGCUGCCUGGGGCGAAAGAAAGGCGAUACGUGAGUGGAGAAAAGGAGCACCCCGAAGAGAGCAUUGUGCUGUCAAGCCUGUGCGUAGUGUGUGCUGGGAAACGGAGCUGUGCUCAUUUUUGGACGUGGUGGCUGUCUGUGUUUCUCUCUCUCUCUCUCGUUGCAGUCUUUAUUGUGGACCUGCUGGAGUAAACAGGAAGAUCCUAUGGGUAAGAAGGAACUUUGUUCUAACCAAUACUGAAGGAGUAAAGCAGGAAGAAAAUUGACCUUCUGGUACAACGUAAACAAAGGCUAUCCGCCGUGAGUAUACCCUUUUUGUGUGGAGUAACUGGCAAAAAUUAACUUGUGUAACCAUUGGAAACCUCCAGGAGAAGGAGGGCGGCCCUACCCCUACAAGAGUGUGGUGGGCGAGCCGUUAGAAGUACAAAUUCAAACAGCCACCGCAACGAGACUUAUUGUGGUCGUAUUUCCCAUCGCCUUAUCGUAGCCCAAGCGCAGUGGAGGACACCGGGCGCUUCCCUUGUUGUGGUGCACUUAUAGUGUGGUGAGUGAGACUGUGUAAUAAAUCUUUUCACGUUGGAGUGGUGCUGUGUAUUUGCUGUGGGUUGCUGUGUGUCUUGUAGACGAAGCCCCGCAUCAUCCAUUUUCUUCCUCUGGGCAGAGGACGGAGAGGCCAACGACCUCAGAAACUACUGUUACCAUAUGUAGUGUGCUGUUUGGAGUACGAAGGGACGCAGACUAAGAGCUGUCCGCGACCGUGAGUAAACCAUUGGAAACAUUCGUGGUGUGAACUUACCUGUGUCUGUUUUGUCGCAGAGUCAGAGGCGAAAGGGUCCGCCGCCCCGUGGUCUCUACGAAAAGGGCGCCCCCGUCUAGGAAUCGAUCGGCCUAUGGGCAUUGGAGAUAGGGCAGCGCUCGACCCGGUGAGGUGGUGUGUGACCUUCGCCCCUCUGCCGACCUACGGAGGAGGACCAUACCUACCCAGAAAGCUGUAAACAGCAGAGCCGCGGCCACCUGUGGAGAGAGAGCAGAACGAGAGUGAAUCAUUGGAGAGCAAACUGUGAACGUGAUACCUACCCAGAAAGCUGUAAACAGCAGAGCCGGUGAGAAAUACUCGAAGUCUCAGUAACAGUGUCUUUGUGUUCUAGCGGCCACCUGUGGAGAGAGAGCAGAACGAGAGUGAAUCAUUGAAGAGCAAACUGUGAACGUGAUACCUACCCAGAAAGCUGUAAACAGCAGAGCCGGUGAGAAAUACUCGAAGUCUCAGUAACAGUGUCUUUGUGUCCUAGCGGCCACCUGUGGAGAGAGAGCAGAACGAGAGUGAAUAAUCGAAGAACAACCUGUGAACGUGAUACCUACCCAGAAAGCUGUAAACAGCAGAGCCGGUGAGAAAUACUCGAAGUCUCAGUAACAGUGUCUUUGUGUCCUAGUGGCCUCCUGUGGAGAGAACGGAAAACGAGAAGGAACAUGAGGAGAAUGGACUGUGUGAAGAUACAGUGGUGGUGGAGGAGAGCCUAGAGUGGCCAUUGUUUUAAGUCCCCCGUUUCCCCUUCCCUAUUUAAUAUUUUUAAGUAAUUUAAUAA